rnacentral:rRNA from 1 species
AUGACAGGCUCCAACUCGAGUGUACAUGGAGGAAAUAUUAUGGAAGAAGAGUUCCCAAAGACUCGAGCAACACUGGGUGAUGUGAUUGAAGAAAGUAUAGCUGCAGCUCUGCAAAGGAUGUUUGGAGGUCGCCUUCCUAUGGCGGGUAAUGGGGAUCUACAUCAACACAACCCCGUUGUCUCGAUGGUUGCCGACAACCGAUGA